GAUGAACGCUGGCGGCGUGCCUAAUACAUGCAAGUCGAGCGAACAGACGAGGAGCUUGCUCCUCUGACGUUAGCGGCGGACGGGUGAGUAACACGUGGAUAACCUACCUAUAAGACUGGGAUAACUUCGGGAAACCGGAGCUAAUACCGGAUAAUAUAUUGAACCGCAUGGUUCAAUAGUGAAAGACGGUUUUGCUGUCGCUUAUAGAUGGAUCCGCGCCGCAUUAGCUAGUUGGUAAGGUAACGGCUUACCAAGGCAACGAUGCGUAGCCGACCUGAGAGGGUGAUCGGCCACGCUGGAACUGAGACACGGUCCAGACUCCUACGGGAGGCAGCAGUAGGGAAUCUUCCGCAAUGGGCGAAAGCUUGACGGAGCAACGCCGCGUGAGUGAUGAAGGUCUUCGGAUCGUAAAACUCUGUUAUUAGGGAAGAACAAAUGUGUAAGUAACUAUGCACGUCUUGACGGUACCUAAUCAGAAAGCCACGGCUAACUACGUG
rnacentral:rRNA from 1 species